UACGUAGGGGGCAAGCGUUGUCCGGAUUUACUGGGUGUAAAGGGCGUGUAGGCGGAUUGUUAAGUCAGGGGUGAAAUCUUGCGGCUCAACCGUAAGUGUGCCUUUGAUACUGGCAGUCUGGAGUAUGGGAGAGGAAGAUGGAAUUCCUGGUGUAGCGGUGAAAUGCGUAGAUAUCAGGAGGAACACCGGUGGCGAAGGCGGUCUUCUGGCCCAUUACUGACGCUGAGGCGCGAAAGCAUGGGGAUCAAAC
rnacentral:rRNA from 1 species